rnacentral:snRNA from 1 species
GUGCUCCCUUUGGCAGCAUAUCCCCUAAAAUUGGAACCGUACAGAGAAGACUAGUGCAGCACAAGGAUGACAGGGAAUUCAUGAAGUGUUCCAUAUAUUA